UACGGAGGGGGCUAGCGUUGUUCGGAAUUACUGGGCGUAAAGCGCGCGUAGGCGGAUCUGCAAGUCGGGGGUGAAAUCCCGAGGCUCAACCUCGGAACUGCCUUCGAUACUGCGGGUCUCGAGUCCGGGAGAGGUGAGUGGAAUUCCUAGUGUAGAGGUGAAAUUCGUAGAUAUUAGGAAGAACACCAGUGGCGAAGGCGGCUCACUGGCCCGGUACUGGACG
rnacentral:rRNA from 1 species